rnacentral:misc_RNA from 1 species
GUGAAUCAUCGAAUUUUUGAACGCAAAUUGCACUCUCUUCGGAGAGUAUGCCUGUUUGAGGGUCAGCCUAAAAAAAAAAUAGACAUAGUCGCUGUUGCGCGGGUAAAGUCUUCGGAAAUUGGGUCAUCUUAAAUCUUGUGGCUUUAAGCGGCUUAAAAUUUUCUUUACGAUUCCAACGAAGGUGCUAAGGUGUAAUUUGUACAACCU